rnacentral:rRNA from 1 species
UACGUAGGGGCUAGCGUUAUCCGGAAUUACUGGGCGUAAAGGGUGCGUAGGCGGUCUUUCAAGCCAGAAGUGAAAGGCUACGGCUCAACCGUAGUAAGCCUUUGAAACUGCAGGGCUUGAGUACAGGAGAGGAAAGCGGAAUUCCUAGUGUAGCGGUGAAAUGCGUAGAUAUUAGGAGGAACACCAGUGGCGAAGGCGGCUUUCUGGACUGAUACUGACGCUGAGGAACGAAAGCGUGGGGAGCAAACAGGAUUAGAUACCCCCGUAGUCCCUGAGCGGG